rnacentral:tRNA from 1 species
GGAGGAGUGCCCGAGCGGAUGAAGGGAGCGGUCUUGAAAACCGCCAGGGUCUUUCGGCCCUCGUGGGUUCGAAUCCCACCUCCUCCGCCA